rnacentral:lncRNA from 1 species
GGCGUAGGAGGCGCCGUCGCCGGAGGGGACGAGGGUGCGGCCGACGUCGGUGAGGGAGUAGCGGCGAGCGCCGGAGGUGGCGCAGCGGUUCUCGGCGAAGACGCCGUGGCUGGCGAGGAGGCGGAGGAGGCGCUGGAGGACGGACGGGUCGGAGGAAGAGGGCGGCGGGGGGCGGAGGAGGGCGAGGAUCUCGGCUGCGGUGAGGGGGGAGUUAGAUCCGGACUGCCAGAUGGCGUCGGGGACGUUGAGGCGGACGACGGCGUUUAGCGCCAUGGGGACGGAGAUCAUGUUGGCGAGCUCCAUCAUCGCCAGCCGACCCUGCUUUCCGACCUCCGACGUCGGAUCCUCUCGACCGCC